UUGGAGGUUGGGUAUUGUGUGUGUGUGUGUGUGUGUGUACACACACACACACACACACACAAGCUCCAAAA